GGUCCAAAACAAAGCCCCGAGAGGAUCAUAUCUGAAGGUGCACCUGGACCUUUCUCUGGUUUUAGUUCAGGAUGGAUUCCAGUGUGCGGCCCGUCUUCAGAUCCAGUCUGGGAAUCCUGGGCUGGAAGGUGAAUAGGGAUCCUUGAUUCCUUGGAACUUCUAUUUUCUCUUGGAAUGGACUCUCCCGGAGACUCCAGGGAACAAAGAGCAACGUGUUCAUCAGCAGAGACUCAGCAAAAGGCCCAGCCAUGUCCACACGUUCCUCUCAGAGAAAUUUCAUAUACAGCUAGUCCUUGAAUAAGGACUAAGUCAGUGACUGCCUUAGUGACCCUUCCAAGUUUCAAUGGCACUGAGAAAAGGAAAUGGCGACUUACAGCAGCUGCAGCAUCCUCACCGUCUCCUGGUGAAAAUUCAGAGGACGGAAAAUGGACUCAAAUUUAUGAGGGUUGUGGCAUCCUGGGGUGGUGGGAUGGCCUUUUGUGAGCAGGUGAUGUUAAGCUUUUCCAGGUUUCACAGAGGUAAAUGGGAAGAAAGGCUCCUUGGAUCGUUGGACAGUUGGCAGCCGAAAAGGCCUUGGGUUUACCGCCAGGC